GGAAGCUUAGCUCAGCUGGUAGAGCACCUGCUUGACGUGCAGGGGGUCAGGGAUUCGAGUUCCUUAGCUUCCACCA
rnacentral:tRNA from 2 species